rnacentral:rRNA from 1 species
CCUGCUGGGCAUUAACUGACGCUGAGGCACGAAAGCGUGGGUAGCAAACAGGAUUAGAUACCCUGGUAGUCCACGCUGUAAACGAUGAUUACUAGGUGUGGGUGGACUGACCCCAUCCGUGCCGCAGUUAACACAAUAAGUAAUCCACCUGGGGAGUACGGCCGCAAGGUUGAAACUCAAAGGAAUUGACGGGGGCCCGCACAAGCAGUGGAGUAUGUGGUUUAAUUCGAAGCAACGCGAAGAACCUUACCAGGUCUUGACAUCGAGUGACGACUCUAGAGAUAGAGUUUUCCUUCGGGACACGAAGACAGGUGGUGCAUGGUUGUCGUCAGCUCGUGUCGUGAGAUGUUGGGUUAAGUCCCGCAACGAGCGCAACCCUUGCUAUUAGUUGCUACGCAAGAGCACUCUAAUAGGACUGCCGUUGACAAAACGGAGGAAGGUGGGGACGACGUCAAAUCAUCAUGCCCCUUAUGACCUGGGCUACACACGUACUACAAUGGCCGUAAACAGAGGGAAGCAAUACAGCGAUGUGGAGCAAACCCCUAAAAGCGGUCUCAGUUCAGAUUGCAGGCUGCAACCCGCCUGCAUGAAGUCGGAAUU